ensembl:lncRNA
CAGACGCCCUGGCACUGGGAAGCUGAGUCCUUGAGGGCGUGGGACGUCCUCCUGUGACGAUGGUCCCUCCAAUUCCUGCUGACCUCGGCAUUCACGGCCUCGUCAGCCUGGGGGCACAGCCACACAUGGACCUCGGAGAUGCACUGGCUGUGUGGAGAAAGGUUCUGAGGGCUGGUGCAGAAGCCUCGGUGGGAUGGACAUGGAAGGGUGGACGGCCCCCAGGGGUCACUGCCCCACUGCAGAGUGGCACGGCUGUGAGAGGCAAGAGCACCAUUUUCAGGGCCUCAUGGUGAAGGCAGCUGGCGGAGAAGCAGGAGGCCGCCAGCCACCCUCCCGGCAGGAAGCACACCGUUCAGCUGGGAGCCAGCGGGAUGCCUCCCGGAAGUCUGCGCCACCUGGGGGCCCGGCUUUGGCCUCCUUCUGUGGGCGAGUGUCCAGGCAGCCAGGGGCUGCUCCUUCUGGUCCAGGACGUGUGUCCAGCCCCGAGCCUAUGGCUGUGCGUCCACACAGCUGCUGUGACUUGGGCCAGCACCUCCGCUCCAUAGAGGAGGACGCCGAGGCCCAGGGCACUCUGUGCAGCCAGGCAUGGAGCUUCCUGGGCGAUCUGGAGACAGGCCACACGGAGGCCCCUGCUCACCCUCCAGCACCCUUACCUGCAGAACUUAGCUGAAGGCCAUGGGAUGAGUGGACGGAUGAGGAGUGGACAAGAUGAUGAGUGGACAAAUGGACAGGUGGACUGAUGGGUGGGUGGCUGCCUGGCGGGGUACAUUAGGACCUGUCAUGAAGGCCUCAGAAGGUGUGACUGACACUCUGGAGGGAUACAUGAAGUGGUCUCUGCAGGGACAGGGAGCAGCCAGGCCCUCACUGGCAGGGCCUCUCCUGCCCUGUGGCAGACAGGACUAAUCACCAGGGCCAGCUCUCCAUGGAGCGUGGCCCUUGGGCCUCCCCAGGCAGCCAAGAGCACUGGCUCUCGGGGCACCAGGCCCUUGCUUGCCGCCCAGCGUUAGGCUGUUAUUGGGAGCUCAGUUGGAGCAGAACUGCCUGGGGCAGGAAGGAGAGGCCCUGGGGCAGGAAGGAGAGGCCCUGGGGCCAGGCCUGUUCUGUGGCGGCCUCCUCACCCACCAGCCUGCUUCACAUGCAGGGCAGGCUCUAAAGGCCUGGGGGUUGGUGUUGCACCCCGAGUGCUCCAGGUUACCUGCAGAGGCACAGCUCCGGGGCCUCCUGCCGGGGCUCUGGGCACCUGCUGAGGGCUCCAGUCCCUGCGUUUGUGCUGCUGGGUCCAGGGGCCUGGACACCUAGUUUCUGUAGGCAGGCACAAGGCUCUGCAGCACAGCUGGG